GACGAACCGAGCGACCGUUAUUCGGAAUCACUGGGCUUAAAGGGCGCGUAGGCGGGCCAUCAAGUCGGAGGUGAAAGCCCCCAGCUCAACUGGGGAAGUGCCCCCGAUACUGGCGGCCUCGAGGGAGAUAGGGGCGUGCGGAAUUUCCGGUGGAGCGGUGAAAUGCGUAGAUAUCGGAAGGAACACCGGUGGCGAAAGCGGCGCGCUGGAUCUCUUCUGACGCUGAGGCGCGAAAGCCAGGGGAGCGAGCGGG
rnacentral:rRNA from 1 species